UGUUAAAAUUCAUAUAUUUGUAUUGUUAAAAAUUAGUGUAGCUAACGGAAUAACUAGAUAAUGGUACGUGAUGUGCCAUGUGUACUUUAUGCAGACCUACAAAGAUCAAUUUUUAAUAGUAGAAAUUGAUAGAAUUUUUAACA
rfam:Gossypium hirsutum cultivar TM-1 unplaced genomic scaffold scaffold104.1, whole genome shotgun sequence